rnacentral:rRNA from 1 species
AUUGAACGCUGGCGGCAGGCCUAACACAUGCAAGUCGAACGAGUGGCGGACGGGUGAGUAAUGUAUGGGAAACUGCCUGAUGGAGGGGGAUAACUACUGGAAACGGUAGCUAAUACCGCAUAACAUCAGAUGUGUCCACAUGGGUGUAGCUAGUGGGUGGGGUAACGGCUCACCAAGGCGACGAACCCUAGCUGGUCUGAGAGGAUGACCAGCCACACUGGAACUGAGACACGGUCCAGACUCCUACGGGAGGCAGCAGUGGGGAAUAUUGCACAAUGGGCGCAAGCCUGAUGCAGCCAUGCCGCGUGUAUGAAGAAGGCCUUCGGGUUGUAAAGUACUUUCAGCGGGGAGGCGUUACCCACAGAAGAAGCACCGGCUAACUCCGUGCCAGCAGCCGCGGUAAUUC